UAGCAUAUAAGUAAGCGGAGGAUAAGAAACUAAAUAGGAUUCCCUCAGUAAUGGCGAAUGAACAGGGAUCAGCUCAGCAUGGAAAUUGGGGCCUAUGGCCUUGAAUUGUAGUCUCGAGAUGUACCGCCAACGGAGGCGCAGAUGUAAGCCUCUUGGAAAAGAGCAUCAACGAGGGUGAGAGUCCCGUUCGUCAUCUGCAGUCCCCCGUGUUCGGUGUACCUUCUAAGAGUCGCGUUCCUCGGAAUUGGAGCGUAAAGUGGGUGGUAAAUUUCAUCUAAAGCUAAAUAUUGGUUCGAGACCGAUAGCAAACAAGUACCAUGAGGGAAAGGUGAAAAGGACUUUGAAAAGAGAGUUAAAAGUGCCUGAAAUUGCUGAAAGGGAAGCGAAUGGAACCAGUGUUGCUUGGUGAGAUUGUUACGCGCUAAGGUGAUUGCCUGCUUCUUCAACGCAAGUGUGGUUGUGGGUUUUGAUCUGGGCGCGCGUGGUGGUUCUUGCCUUGUGUGUCAACGCCAGUUCACAAUCGAGGAAAACUCCAGGGACAUGGUAGUUUGCCCCCGGGUGAGCGAAUGUGCUUGGUGGAACUCAUUGGUGAACUGAUUUCUUGUGUCUGGUUGCAGUGUCUCAUGUCCUGGACAACUUCGGUGGGGGACCUCGUCCUUCUUCGGAUUGCUUCAGCGACUGGGGCACUUCCCUGACACAUCGACGAUGACUAAAUGGUUCUAUUCGACCCGUCUUGAA
rnacentral:rRNA from 1 species